UUAAGAUACUAAGGGCAUACGGUGGAUGCCUUGGCGAUAUCUGCCGAAGAAGGACGCGACAAGCUGCGAAAAGCUACGGGUAGGCGCAAAUAGCCGUUGAACCGUAGAUAUCCGAAUGGAGAAAUCCGGCGGUGGUAAUGCACCGUCACCCAUACCGACCGGUAUGAGGAGGGAACUCGGUGAACUGAAACAUCUAAGUAACCGGAGGAGAAGAAAUCAAACGAGAUACCCCAAGUAGCGGCGAGCGAACGGGGAAGAAGCCUAAACCGAAUAAGGAAACUUAAUCGGGGUUGAGGACCGACAAAAUUGGAGGAAAAGUUAGCCAAAUCUCUUGGGAAAGAGAGCCGAAGACAGUGAGAGCCUGGUAGGCGAAAACAAGAACUCUAAGGACGGAAUCCAGAGUAGUGCGGGACACGAGAAAUCCCGUAUGAAGCAGGGGGGACCACCCUCCAAGGCAAAACACAGAUAUCGACCGAUAGCGCAUAGUACCAUGAGGGAAAGGUGAAAAGCACCCCGGGAGGGGAAUGAAAGAGAACCUGAAACCGUAUGUUUACAAGCAGUCGGAGACCGCUUAAUAAUAAGGUCGACGGCGUGCCUAUUGAAGAAUGAACCGGCGAGUUACGAAGCCUGGCAAGGUUAAGCAGGAAAUGCGGAGCCGAAGCGAAAGCGAGUCUUAAGAGGGCGCAAGUCAGGAAGCGUAGACCCGAAACCACAGUGAUCUACCCAUGUCCAGGUUGAAACACAGGUAAAAAUGUGUGGAGGACCGAACCUAUAUCCGUUGAAAAGGGUUAGGAUGAGGUGUGGGUAGGGGUGAAAUUCCAAUCGAACGUGGAGAUAGCUGGUUCUCCCCGAAAUAGCUUUAGGGCUAGCCUCAGGGAAAAGAUUGCAGGCGGUAGAGCACUGAUCAGGAGAGGGACCUACCCGGUUACCAAACCCAGUCAAACUCCGAAUGGCUGCAAUCAUACCUGGGAGUCAGACUGCGACUAAUAAGGGCCGCAGUCAAAAGGGAAACAGCCCAGACCAUCAGCUAAGGUCCCCAAUGCCGUGCUAAGUGGCGAAGGAUGUGGCAUUUCAUAAACAACCAGGAUGUUGGCUCAGAAGCAGCCACCAUUUAAAGAGUGCGUAAUAGCUCACUGGUCGAGAGACGCUGCGCCGAAAAUGUCCGGGGCUCAAGCACGGAACCGAAGCUAUGGCAUGAUAGCAAUAUCAUGGGUAGGGGAGCGUUCUUAUAAGGAAGAAGCAUGACCGGAAGGACAUGUGGACGAAUAAGAAGUGAGAAUGCCGGUAUGAGUAUCGAAAAGAAAGGUGAGAAUCCUUUCCACCGAAAGCCCGAGGGUUCCUGAGCAACGAUCGUCGACUCAGGGUAAGUCGGGACCUAAGCCGAGGCGAGAAGCGUAGGCGAUGGACAACAGGUUGAAAUUCCUGUACCGGAUCAAGUCGAUCGAGCGAAGGAGCGACGCAGGAGGGCACAUGAUCGCGCGGCUGGAAGAGCGCGUCCAAGUGCGUAUGUUGCAGCAGAGGAAAACCCCUGCAGCUAAAAGCAGAGACAUGAUGGGGAGUUAAAGGAAACUUUGACGAACUCAUGGAUCCCACACUGCCAAGAAAAACUUCUAGCGAGACAAGAUCCGCCCGUACCGUAAACCGACACAGGUAGGCGGGGAGAGAAUCCUAAGGUGCGCGGGAAAACCCUCGUUAAGGAACUCGGCAAAUUGCAUCCGUAACCUAGGGAGAAGGAUGGCCCCCGGUCAGUGAAGAGCAGAAACGCUCAGAGCUAAAAGGGGCGGCAGAAAAGAGGCCCAAGCAACUGUUUACCAAAAACACAGGUGCCUGCGAAAGCGAAAGCUGAAGUAUAGGUGCUGACGCCUGCCCGGUGCUGGAAGGUUAAGGAGAGAGGUCAGCUAAGGCGAAGCUUUGAACUGAAGCCCCAGUGAACGGCGGCCGUAACUAUAACGGUCCUAAGGUAGCGAAAUUCCUUGUCGGGUAAG
rnacentral:rRNA from 1 species